ACGAACGCUGGCGGCGUGCUUCACACCUGCAAGUCGCACGGAAAGGCCCUGCUUUUGUGGGGUGCUCGAGUGGCGAACGGGUGAGUAACACGUGAGUAACCUGCCCUUGACUUUGGGAUAACUUCAGGAAACUGGGGCUAAUACCGGAUAGGAGCUCCUGCUGCAUGGUGGGGGUUGGAAAGUUUCGGCGGUUGGGGAUGGACUCGCGGCUUAUCAGCUUGUUGGUGGGGAAGUGGCUUACCAAGGCUUUGACGGGUAGCCGGCCUGAGAGGGUGACCGGCCACAUUGGGACUGAGAUACGGCCCAGACUCCUACGGGAGGCAGCAGUGGGGAAUAUUGCACAAUGGGCGGAAGCCUGAUGCAGCAACGCCGCGUGCGGGAUGACGGCCUUCGGGUUGUAAACCGCUUUCGCCUGUGACGAAGCGUGAGUGACGGUAAUGGGUAAAGAAGCACCGGCUAACUACGUG
rnacentral:rRNA from 1 species